rnacentral:rRNA from 1 species
UACGUAGGGGGCGAGCGUUGUCCGAAGUUACUGGGCGUAAAGCGCACGUAGGCGGUUAUCUAAGUCUGGGGUGAAAGGUUCAGUGCUUAACGCGAACAGUGCCUUGGAGACUGGAUGACUUGAGUUUGGGAGAGGGUAGUGGAAUGGCUGGUGUAGCGGUGAAAUGCGUAGAGAUCAGGAAGACACCCGUGGCGAAGGCGGCCCACUGGGCCGGUGCUGACGCUGAGGCGCGAAGGC